rnacentral:misc_RNA from 1 species
UUUCCGUAGGUGAACCUGCGGAAGGAUCAUUAUUGGAUUUUGAAACUUCAGGCUGCUGCUGGCUCUCCUCGGAGGGCAUGUGCACGCUUGUUGUCCAUUAUUUCUCCCACUGUGCACAAAUUGUAGACCUUUCAGUAGGCCUAUGGUGUUUUUCACAAUCUCUGAAUGUAAUAGAAUGGUUUUGAAUCUUGGGAAAUACAAUACAACUUUCAGCAACGGAUCUCUUGGCUCUC